rnacentral:rRNA from 1 species
UACAGAGGUCUCGAGCGUUGUUCGGAUUCAUUGGGCGUAAAGGGUGCGCAGGCGGUGUUGCAAGUCUGGUGUGAAAGCUUGGGGCUCAACCCCAAAAUUGCAUUGGAUACUGCCAUGCUUGAGGACUGUAGAGGAGAGUGGAAUUCACGGUGUAGCAGUGAAAUGCGUAGAUAUCGUGAGGAAGACCAGUUGCGAAAGCGACUCUCUGGGCAGUUCCUGACGCUCAUGCACGAAGGCCAGGGGAGCAAACGGG